AGUACUCGAGUGGCGAACGGGUGAGUAACACGUGGGUAAUCUGCCCUGCACUCUGGGAUAAGCCUGGGUAACUGGGUCUAAUACUGGAUAUGACCUUUCUCCUUAUGGGGUUUGGUGGAAAGUUUUUCGGUGUAGGAUGAGCCCGCGGCCUAUCAGCUUGUUGGUGGGGUGAUGGCCUACCAAGGCGACGACGGGUAGCCGGCCUGAGAGGGUGAUCGGCCACAUUGGGACUGAGAUACGGCCCAG
rnacentral:rRNA from 1 species